UACGGAGGGUGCAAGCGUUAUCCGGAUUCACUGGGUUUAGAGGGUGCGUAGGUGGGCAGGUAAGUCAGUGGUGAAAUCCUGUAGCUUAACUACAGAACUGCCAUUGAUACUAUCUGUCUUGAAUACCCUGGAGGUGAGCGGAAUAUGUCAUGUAGCGGUGAAAUGCUUAGAUAUGACAUAGAACACCCAUUGCGAAGGCAGCUCACUACGGGAAUAUUGACGCUGAGGCACGAAAGCGUGGGGAUCAAACAGG
rnacentral:rRNA from 1 species